rnacentral:rRNA from 1 species
UACGUAGGGAGCAAGCGUUGUCCGGAAUUACUGGGUGUAAAGGGAGCGUAGGCGGGAUGGCAAGUUGGGUGUUAAAUCUACCGGCUCAACUGGUAGUCGCACUCAAAACUGCUAUUCUUGGGUGAAGUAGAGGCAGGCGGAAUUCCUAGUGUAGCGGUGAAAUGCGUAGAUAUUAGGAGGAACACCAGUGGCGAAGGCGGCCAACUGGGCUUUAACUGACGCUGAGGCUCGAAAGUGUGGGGAGCAAACAGG